UACGAAGGGUGCAAGCGUUACUCGGAAUUACUGGGCGUAAAGCGUGCGUAGGUGGUUUGUUAAGUCAGAUGUGAAAGCCCUGGGCUCAACCUGGGAACUGCAUUUGAUACUGGCAGGCUAGAGUGCGGUAGAGGGGUGCGGAAUUCCUGGUGUAGCAGUGAAAUGCGUAGAGAUCAGGAGGAACAUCCGUGGCGAAGGCGGCACCCUGGGCCAGCACUGACACUGAGGCACGAAAGCGUGGGGAGCAAACAGG
rnacentral:rRNA from 1 species